rnacentral:rRNA from 1 species
AUUGAACGCUGGCGGCAGGCUUAACACAUGCAAGUCGAGCGGAAACGAUGAUAGCUUGCUAUCAGGCGUCGAGCGGCGGACGGGUGAGUAAUACUUAGGAAUCUACCUAGUAGUGGGGGAUAGCACGGGGAAACUCGUAUUAAUACCGCAUACGACCUACGGGAGAAAGGGGGCAGUUUACUGCUCUCGCUAUUAGAUGAGCCUAAGUCGGAUUAGCUAGAUGGUGGGGUAAAGGCCUACCAUGGCGACGAUCUGUAGCUGGUCUGAGAGGAUGAUCAGCCACACCGGGACUGAGACACGGCCCGGACUCCUACGGGAGGCAGCAGUGGGGAAUAUUGGACAAUGGGGGAAACCCUGAUCCAGCCAUGCCGCGUGUGUGAAGAAGGCCUUUUGGUUGUAAAGCACUUUAAGCAGUGAAGAAGACUCCGUGGUUAAUACCCACGGACGAUGACAUUAGCUGCAGAAUAAGCACCGGCUAACUCUGUGCCAGCAGCCGCGGUAAUACAGAGGGUGCAAGCGUUAAUCGGAAUUACUGGGCGUAAAGGGAGCGUAGGUGGCUCUAUAAGUCAGAUGUGAAAUCCCCGGGCUCAACCUGGGAACUGCAUCUGAAACUGUAGAGCUAGAGUAUGUGAGAGGAAGGUAGAAUUCCAGGUGUAGCGGUGAAAUGCGUAGAGAUCUGGAGGAAUACCGAUGGCGAAGGCAGCCUUCUGGCAUAAUACUGACACUGAGGCUCGAAAGCGUGGGUAGCAAACAGG